rnacentral:rRNA from 1 species
AUACAGAGGGUGCAAGCGUUAAUCGGAAUUACUGGGCGUAAAAGGCGCGUAGACGGAUAAUUAAGCGAGCGCUGAAAGGCACGGGCUUAACCUGUGUUAGGCGAUUGAACUGGUUAUCUAGAGGUCAGGAGAGGGGAGUGGAAUUCUCGAAGUAGCGGUGAAAUGCGUAGGUAUCGGGAGGAACACCAGUGGCGAAGGCGACUCUCUGGCCUGGACCUGACGUUGAGGCGCGACAGCGUGGGGAGCGAACAGGAUUAGAUACCCUGGUAGUCCACGCCGUAAACGAUGAAUACUGGCUGAGUGUGCCGUUGGGCAUGCGUAGCGAAGUCAACGCGUUAAGUAUUCCGCCUGGGGAGUACGGCCGCAAGGCUAAA